CCUACGGGAGGCAGCAGUGGGGAAUUUUGGACAAUGGGCGCAAGCCUGAUCCAGCCAUGCCGCGUGAGUGAAGAAGGCCUUCGGGUUGUAAAGCUCUUUCGGCGGGGACGAAAUUGCUCGGAUUAAUACCCUGUGUAGAUGACGGUACCCGCAUAAGAAGCACCGGCUAACUACGUGCCAGCAGCCGCGGUAAU
rnacentral:rRNA from 1 species